rnacentral:misc_RNA from 1 species
ACAAACUUGGUCAUUUAGAGGAAGUAAAAGUCGUAACAAGGUUUCCGUAGGUGAACCUGCGGAAGGAUCAUUAAUGAGUUAGGGUCUCACUGGCCCGACCUCCCAACCAUUUGUUUACUGAACCCAUGUUGCUUCGGCGGACCCGCUCAGAUUGGCCGCCGGAGGGUUGCCGAGAGGCGUCCCUCUGGCCUGUGUCCGCCGAGAGCCUAACUCUGAAAACUCUUGAUUAAAACUAUGCCGUGUCUAAGUGAUUAAAUAAAUGAAAAACAAAACUUUCAACAACGGAUCUCUUGGUUCUGGCAUCGAUGAAGAACGCAGC